GGAGCGGCACGGGCCCGGUGGCCCAGCCGGUCUUCAAAAUCGGCCCGGUCGUGCAACCCACGGCUUGCUCGGUUCGACUCCGGGGCCGCUCCG
rnacentral:tRNA from 1 species